rnacentral:lncRNA from 1 species
GAGCGAGGUUGAGUUACAGCCCUGAGGAGGGUGGUUGCAGAUGAGGAAACUGAGGCACAGCGAGUUUAAAUACCUUUCUCAAAGUGAUGGGGCUUUGGUCUGAAGUCUUGCUGUAAAGGCCAUGUUCUUAACCAGUAGGCAUUGUCUGUGACAACUCUCCAUGUAUUCCAACAGGAUGGGGAUUUGGAUCAGAACAGAGAUGACCAAGGCCCCAUAUGGACGGGGGCAAACAGCAGCCAUGUGAAUGGGGGUCUGGGGAGAAUGAGGACCCUGGAAGCACCAGGAAAGGAUCCAGGCCUGGCUUCAUCAGGAGGUGAGCUUUUCCACCCUGGGGCUGUGAAAACAGCCCCUUCAUCCUGUCCAUGGAGAGGGACCUAGUGCCAAGUCCAGAAGUGGUCGCCUUGCAAAGCUGGCUCCUCUGGGAGUUUAUCAUCAAUAGCAUCAGGCGACCAAUAACUACAGGUUGGGAGGAAUUGCUUUCUGGCAGGUGAUGAGGGCACUCUCGCUUUAGGUUCAGCAAGACUAGAAUAGGAAGCUUUGAAGAAGAGUUUGGGAGAUUGCGAAGCUUAGUUGUCAAGGCUCCGAGGUUUUUCAAGGAAACUUUUUUCUUUUCUUUUCUUUUCUUUUUUUUUUUUUUUGUCUUUUGUCUUUUUGCCUUUUCUAGGGCCACUCCCGUGGCAUAUGGAGGUUCCCAGGCUAGGGGUCUAAUUGGAGCUGUAGCCACCAGCCUACACCAGAGUCACAGCAACUCGAGAUCUGAGCCACGUCUGUGACCUACACCACAGCUCAUGGCAACGCCUGAUCCUUAACCCACUGAGCAAGGCCCGGGAUUGUAUCCGCAACCUCGUGGUUCCUAGUGGAAUUCGUUAACCACUGAGCCACGAUGGGAAUUCCCAAGGAGACUUCUUUAAGCUGAAGGCAGAGCUUGGGGGAAUGGUGCCCUGAAGCACCAUUACCUGUGCGGUGGUCUCAGCACAGACUGUGGUUUGAGAAAAGUGUGAUGGAACGAAGCCUGACUUUCUGUUACAGGUAGGGAGGGCUUUGUAAAGCACUUUGGCUUUUAGGGCAGAAGUUUGUUACUGGAACAAAGUGCCUCCUCUCCCAAAUGGGCUGAAGCUCAAGAUGUCUCUGUCCCCUUCAUGGGAGAGUCCAGGGCAGGUAGGUAUUGGGGCACAGGCUCUGUCCCACUUGUUUCUUCCCACUGCUUCUGGGAGGAGGACCCCAGCCAGCAAGGUGGAGGGUGUGACCACGUGGGCACAAUGCCCUCUGUCUAGGACGUAGGCUGGCCAAACCCCUCCCUCCACCACUUCCCCUUGGUAACAGGAGACACUGUGCCCCAGCUGCAAGGGGUGGGCAGGCUGGGAGAUGCAGGGAGGUGAGCAGGAAAAGGAUAAUGGAUUGUGGUGGAAGCUGGGCGGCUCUGCUGCAGCAGGGUCACCAGGACACUAGCUCACAGUCUCUGUGUUUGAUUACACAUCAGCAUGAGCUCUUCAAAUGUUUUCUGGUUCUGGAAAUCCUAUAGAACGUGUCCCACAUCAGGUUAAGCUAAUGCUCUCAGUGGAGGUGGUGAAGCCAAAGAUCUGCAGUUCAGAUGGAUGCGGGUGCAUGUACAGGACAAAACAAACUCAUGCGAGUGUAGAUCAGGCACGUGUAACAUGAGCUCUCUUGUGCUCUCCUUGGGGACCUCCUCCUCAGCUCCUGGGGUUCCUGUAACACACAUACAGGGGAAUGGACCAUGGGCACUGUCCAGUCUGAGACCUGAUUUACCCUGUGUCUGAGUCUGCUUGGGGCUACACAACAAACACUACAGGCCGGGCAGCUUAAACAACAGACUUAUCUUCCGGUCCUGAAUGCUGUCUGCUGUCAAGGUGUCUGCAGGCUGGUUUCUCUUGGGGCUUCUUCUCUUCCUUGGCGUAUAGACAGCCAUCUCCUCCCCAUGUCUUCACAUGGUCUCCCCUGUGCCUGUGUCCUAGUCUCUUCUUGUAGGACCCCAGUCCUCUUGCAUUAGGAUCCACCCUAGUGACUUCAUUUUACCUUGACACCUCUUGAAAAACCCCAUAGCCAGGAGUUCUCAUUGUGGCUCAGCGGUAAGGAACCCAACUAGCAUCCAUGAGGACGUGGGUUCAGUCCCUGGUCUUGCUCAGUGUGUUAAGGAUCUAGCAUUGCCGUGAGCUGUGGUGUAGGUCAGAGACUCGGCUCAGAUCUGAUGUUGCCGUGGCUGUGGUGUAGGCCGGCAGCUAUAGCUCCAAUUCGACUCCUAGUCUGGGAACUUCCAUAUGCCUCAGGUGUGACCCUAAACAAAAAGCAAAACAACAAAACUAAAAACCCAUAGCCAAAUAUAGCCACAUCCUGGGGUCCUGGGGUUAGUAAUCGAGCCUGUGGAUUUUGAAGGACACAACAGAGCUCACACCAUCCUGCUUAGGGACUAAUUGGGCCUUAGUCCCUCCUUCCUUCAAAUUCCAUGGUGGUGGGCGUGGUGGCGAAAUGAGAGCCCAGGGAGAGGGCACUUGUGCAGGUCUAGUUAGGGACAGCACAGGACUUUAGUUAGGGAGAAGGCAGGGUCUGAGCUAGGAAUAGUUCAGGGCAUUAGUUAGGGAUAGAGCUUGGCCUUAGAUAGUGACUGCUUAGGUCUAGUUAGGGACAGUGCAGGGAUUUAGUUAAACAUAGGUAAGGGUGUUAGUUAUGGGCAGAGCAAGGAUUUAGGGAAAGAUGGGUUUAGAAAGGGACAGCACAGGGCCUUAGGGAGAGCUCAAAACCUUAUUUAGGGAGAACUUAGGGCAUUCAUCAGGGACAGCAUUGGGCCUUAUUAGUGACAUCGCAGAGCCUUAGGGACAGGUCAGGGCCAUAGUUAGGGGUAGAGCAGGCCCUUAGUAGGGAUAUCAUGAGUCUAGUUAGGACCAUUGCAGGGAUUUAGUUAGAUAGCUCAGGGCAUUAUUAGGGAGAUAGAUUUAUAUGGAUAUGCAGGUCUUCUUAAGGAAAUGCAGGCCUUAUUGGGGGACAUUGCCCAGCCUUAAUUAGGGACAGCUCAGGGAUCUAGUUGGGGACAGCACAGUGAUUUAGGUAGGGACAACAUAGGGCCUAAUUUGGGCCAGCAUGGGGUCAUAGUUAUGGGCUCUUAGGUCCUAGUUAGGGAUAAUGGAAUCUUUAGUUAGAGACAGCUGAGGAGUAUUAGGGACAGAACAAGGUUUUAGUUAGGAACAGGGCAAGGCCUCAUUAGGGACAGUGAAGGACCACAAUUAACAAAAGCACAGGGACAUUGCCCAGCCUUAGAGACAUUGCAGAGCUUUAGGUAAGGACAACGUAGGGCCUUAGUUAGGGACACUUAAGUCUAAUUAGGGACAGUGCAAGGCUUUAGUUUUAGACAGUUCUGGCCCUCUGCUAGGGACAACGCAGAGGUCUUGAAUGGAGGGUGGAAGAGCAGUAGUAUUUUGGUGAGCAGGCUGUGCUCAUCUCUGUGUCCUUUCUCUCAAGAUUUCUCCCCAAACAUACUCCUUCACUUUCCACCUAAGCCUCUUCCUCCUGUCCCUGACCUGUUUUAUGGGGAUGUGACCUAAAGCCAUGUCUCUUGAAAUAAGGGAGGAUAACUGGGGAGCUGAGUUCCCAUCGUGGCUCAGUGAUAAUGAACCUGACUAGUAUCCAUGAGGAUGUGGGUUUGAUCCCUGGCCUUGCUCAGUGGGUUAAUGGUCCAGUGUUGCUGUGAGCUGUUGUGUAGUUUGCACCUCCCCUAAAAAAAGGGGGGUACUGAUUUAAAGCUGGCUCUCCUGACUUAGUGCGGGAGAAGGGAAGUUGAGUGGUUUUUUUUUUUUUUUUUUUUUUUUUUGUCUUUUAGGGCUGCACCCUCUGCAUAUGGGGUUUCCCAGGCUAGGGGUCCAAUCGGAGCUGUAGCCGCCGGCCUAUGCCAGAGCCACAGCAACAUGGAAUCCGAACCGUGUCUGCGAUCUACCCCACAGCUCAUGGCAACGCUAGAUCCUUAACCCACUGAGCGAGGCCAGGGAUCAAACCCACAACCUCACGGAUGCUAUUCAGAUUGGUUAACCACUGAGCCAUGACAGGAACUCUGGGAAGCUGAGUGUUUUAAAAUAGUGGGAUGUGGCAGGUUAGGGUGAGGGUCCUGAGAGGCUCUGAGAAAUACCCCUGUCUGUAGGGCACUUGAUUGUAUUUAGAGGGAGAGGAGGAACAAAAUCAAGCUGGCAGAUGCCUAGGGUUAGUGCUGGGUUAGCUGCAGGAGGUGGGAGGAGGGGCUGAGGUUUGAUGUUAGAGCAGAUGGCCACUAGCGGGCUCAGGAACACAAGCCAGUCCACCUGCAGCUCCUCUGCCACAGCUCCAGACUCUCAGAAGUGAUUGGAAGUAACUGUACAGACCCCCCCAGGCCAUAUGCUGAGAUGAAGAACUAGUUACAGGGCACCUCUGACUCUCUGGCCCCAACUGCCUCACCUCACAGAGUGUAUAUAGUUCUGAAUUAAGCAUCCGAUUGGGUACUUCCAGCCUGGUCAGGUAACCUGGUCUUCAGACAGUCUGACAAUCUUUUGGGUUCUGACUGCCCUUUGAAAUGUCAGAGGCAGGACUAUGGACCCAGAAAUUCCAGAACUGAAUCUUGGGCACACAGUUUUGUAGAAUCAGGCUUGAGCAGGGUUUGAACCUAAAACCAAGCCCAUGAAUUCGGGGAGGGGGGCGCUGAUCAAUUUAAAGCCAGGUAGGAGUUCCCUUUGUGGUGCAGCGGAAACAAAUCUGACUAGGAACCAUGAGGUUGCGGGUUCGAUCUCUGGCCUCUCUCAGUGGGUUAAGGAUCUGGCGUUGCUGUGAGCUGCAGUGUAGGUUGCAGACGUGGCUCGGAUCUGGCGUUGCUGUGGUGUAGGCUGGAAGCUACAGCUCUGAUUAGACCCCUAGCCUGGGAACCUCAAUAUGCCAUGGGUGUUGCCCUAAAAAGACACACACAAGCCAGGUACAUGACUUCAAGUGGGUUCAGCUGAUUGGCUUAAAGUUGCGAUGUUGGAUAGAGAGGGGUGAGUGACCUGGGAGACUUCGACAGAGAAAUACCCCCUCUAUGAGGCACUGGAUUGUGCCUAGUGGGAGAGGAGGAAGACAUCAGGCUGUCUGGUGCUGGUUCAGUGUGGUAUGGUCAGGGAGGCAGGAGGAAGGGCUCUGAGUUGUUUGAGGGAGUGGCCACUAGAGGGCAUUGCAGCACCAGCAGAGCCCACCUGCUGUUUUUCUGGAGGCCGCUUCAGGCUCAGAAUGGGGAUGGAUAUGGGGUGGGCAGAAUCCCAAGGAUGUGCCCAGAGAAAAGGGUUUGGCACCAGGUGGCCUCUGACCCUCUGGCCCGAAUUGCCUCACCUCACAAAGGGGACAUAGUUCUGCCUUCAAAUACAUGGGUGACUUCCAGCCUGGUUGGAUGGCCCAUUGGCCAGACAGUUGGACAGGCUGUCUGGGGUCUGACAGCCCUUUGGUUGUCCAAAGGUAUGACUGGGGACCCAGAAACACUAGGCUUGAAUCUUGGGUGUACCGUUUUCUAGAAUCAGGCUGGCAUGAGGUUUGGCAUCUGGAAAGCUGAGCUGGUGGUCGUGAACAAGGUGAGUCAAAGCAGUGGUAUUUCAGUGGCUAGGCUGUGCUCAUCCCUGUGCCCUUUCUCUCCAAAUUUCUCCCCAACUUCCUUUUUUCCCUUCCAUUUUAACCUCAUCCUCUUCUACCCAGCUCCUGUUAGGGGGAAAAUACCUAAAACCCAGUGAUGUGAAUAAAGGGUGUGGGGUUACUGAUUUAAAGCUGGGUCACCAGGCUGAAGGGUACUGGUGGAUUUAAAGCCUGCUCACAUGAAUUAAACAGCAGGGCAGGAGUUCCCAUUGUGGCUCAGUGGAAACAAAUCUGAUUAGUAUCCAUGAGGACACACAUUCAAUCCCUGGCCUUGCUCAGUGGGUUAAGGAUCUGGCAUUGCUGUGGCUGUGGCACAGGCUAGCGGCUACAACUUUGUUUUGACCCCUAGCCUGGGAACCUCCAGCGCGGCCCUAAAAAGACCAAAAAAAAAAAAAAAAAAAAA